rnacentral:rRNA from 1 species
AUGCGCGCCACUGCCCACUGUGCCGCGCCACCACAAAUCGACGAAUCCUUGCACAAAUCGACGUUACUACUUACUACUACAAAGCAGCAGAAUUACGUACAGGGAGCGACCGAGCGAGCGAUUAAUCAGUGCGAUUACUACAUCAUCAGCCAUGCGAUGCGGGUCUCAGAGCAAGAGGCAGCAGCAGAGCAGCGCGGAGGCCGACGGCCAGAGGGCGCCGCCCCUCGCGAUGGCUCUGCCGGGGGAAGCGCCGGAGCCGUCGCCGCCACCGCAGACGCCCACGCCGAUCUCCUUCGUGGCGGCCCGGUCGUCCACGCACAGCCCCGGGUUGCCGCUCAGGUCGAGGUUCCGGCCGAGACGCCGGAGGAACGCGCCGUCGAACGGCACGGCGCCGUCCAGCCCGUUCUUGCUCAGGUUCAGGUGGUACAUGCGCUUCAGCCGGCUCAGCCCCGCCGGGAUCCGCCCGGUGAGGUUGUUGUUCUGCAGCGACAGCGUCGUCAGGCUCGUCAGCCGCCCAAACGUCUCCGGGAUGGACCCCGAGUAGCCGGAGUUGGCCAGCCGCAGCUCCUGCAGCCGCGCGAUGCCGCCCAGCUCGGGCUGCAGCGGCACGCCCAUCGGGUUGUUCUCCAUGAUCAGGUACUGGAGGUCCCGGAGGCCGGCGAGGCCCGCGGGCAGGCGGCCGCUCAAGCCGUUGUUGCUCAGCGCCAGGAAGGUGAGGGAGCUGAGACCGGAGAAGGUGGCCGGGACGCUGCCCGUGAGGUUGUUGGAGCUCAGGUCCAGCUUCUGCAGCUGCGCGAGCCGGCCGAGCUUGCUCGGGAUGGGGCCCGAGAAGGAGUUGUAGCUGAGGUCGAGGCCCUGGAGGCUCCGGAGCUCGCCGAUCCGCGCCGGGAUGGGGCCGGUGAGCGAGUUGUAGCUGAGGUCGAGGUGGACGAGGCCGGCGAGCUCGCCGAUGCCCCGCGGGACCUCGCCGCGCACGAGCGGGUUCUGGGAGACGGUGAGCACCUGCAGCGACCGCAGGCUGGCGAGCUGCGGCGGCAGCGUGCCGGACAGCGAGGGGUUGGAGCGGAUGCUGAGCUGCUGCAGGCGGGACGCGGAGAGGUUGGCCGCGGGCGGGAGGGCGAGCGCGGCGGUUUUGGCGGGGUUCUUGAAGCAGUCGACGAGGAAGAGCGACUGGAGGUGGGGCAGCGCGGAGAAGGCGUGGGUCGGGAACGCCGCGGCCUCCCUGCAGGCCGGGUUGGGCGGCACGCCGAAGUCGAGCCGGGUGACGCGCAUCAGCCGCUUGUCGGCGGCGUCCGGCUUGCACUCGAGCCCCGGCCAGGGCGCGGCGCAGGGGUCGGUGCCCGAGGAGGAGCGCCAGUCGCGGUCGGAGGAGACGGCCUCCAUGACGCGCAGCAGCGCCUCCCGCUCGGCCGGGUCCAUGGCGGCGCCGGCCACGGCGAGGAGGGAGCAGAGGAGGAGCGCGACGGCGGUGGCCGGCAUCGUGCCGCGCGUCCGUGUGGGUGCUGGCUGGGUGGCUGGGUGGCUGCGUCUGCGGCCCGGGCCGGGGGGCGUCGCUUUUUGACGUCGUCUCGUCCGUCCGUCCGUCCAUGGUUUAUUGAUUGGGCUAUGGGAGUGAGUGAGGGCGGUGGGGGCGUCUGA